rnacentral:rRNA from 1 species
GACGAACGCUGGCGGCGUGCUUAACACAUGCAAGUCGAACGCUGAAGCUCAGCUUUUGUUGGGUGGAUGAGUGGCGAACGGGUGAGUAACACGUGAGUAACCUGCCCCCUUCUUUGGGAUAACGCCCGGAAACGGGUGCUAAUACUGGAUAUUCACUGGUCUUCGCAUGGGGGUUGGUGGAAAGGGUUUUUCUGGUGGGGGAUGGGCUCGCGGCCUAUCAGCUUGUUGGUGGGGUGAUGGCCUACCAAGGCUUUGACGGGUAGCCGGCCUGAGAGGGUGACCGGUCACAGUGGGACUGAGAUACGGCCCAGACUCGUCCGGGAGGCAGCAGUGGGGAAUAUUGCACAAUGGGCGCAAGCCUGAUGCAGCGACGCCGCGUGAGGGAUGGGGGCCUUAGGGUUGUGAACCUCUUUCGCUCAUGGUCAAGCCGCAACAAUGGUUGUGGUGAGGGUAGUGGGUAAAGAAGCGCCGGCUAACUACGUG